UACGAAGGGGACUAGCGUUGUUCGGAAUCACUGGGCGUAAAGCGCACGUAGGCGGAUGUGUCAGUCAGGGGUGAAAUCCCGGGGCUCAACCUCGGAACUGCCUUUGAUACAGCACGUCUCGAGUCCGGAAGAGGUGGGUGGAAUUCCUAGUGUAGAGGUGAAAUUCGUAGAUAUUAGGAAGAACACCGGUGGCGAAGGCGGCCCACUGGUCCGGUACCGACGCUGAGGUGCGAAAGCGUGGGGAGCAAACAGG
rnacentral:rRNA from 1 species